AAUCCUUGCAUGGGACAUUUGUAUUAAAGCUCCUUGUAUCGCUCUCAAGCCUCGAACAUGGAUUCAUCAUUUGCCUUCCGAAAAGAAGUAAUAUCAUUACACAAUUU